CCGUUUUAAAAUUCUAGAAGAUUUUUUAAAAUAUUACCCAACAAUAACUCAAAUACAUCCAUUGAAAAGUCGCCAGAAUUAAUGAAGUGGACCACAAAAGUGAAAACUGACUGUUCCAGUAUUGUUCUACGGACUUCUGCUCCUCCUGUUGACUUGGUGCACUCAACUCAGCCACGUGUCCUAAGGUGAACGGCCAUAUUUAUUUGCACCAUUUCUUAAAAUCUUGACUAGUACAUGGUCCAAGUGUCCAACUACACUCACGUGAUCGCGUGCAGUUUGUCGAAUGCGAUAUCAUCAAAACUUAUAAUAUUU
rnacentral:lncRNA from 1 species